GUCUGGAGGAUUUCCCUCAUGGGUAAUUGCAUCCUCAAACUUACAACUGAAUUUGGUGGCAAACAACUUCAUAUUUGACAAAUCAAACAUAAGUGUUAUGCCAGGACUGAAUUGCCUCCAGAGAAAUUUCCCAUGCAAUAGGAAUUCUCCACUUUCAUGGUAUUAUGUAACUAAUACAGAAAAAUGGGCAGUCAGCAAUGUGGGGCUGUUUGCAG